UGAUCUCUCUUUUCUACUCAAAGAGUUCCCUUCAAUAUUUCUUGCAGGGCUGGUUUAGUGGUCACAAACUCCCUUGGGUUUUGAGAAACUCUGUCUCUCUC